CUCGACAACGGAUAUCUCGGCUCUCGCAUCGAUGAAGAACGUAGUGAAAUGCGAUACUUGGUGUGAAUUGCAGAAUCCCGUGAACCAUCGAGUUUUUGAACGCAAGUUGCGCCCGAAGCCUUCUGGCCGAGGGCACGUCUGCCUGGGCGUCACA
rnacentral:rRNA from 1 species